CCUACGGGUGGCAGCAGUGGGGAAUAUUGCACAAUGGGGGCAACCCUGAUGCAGCGACGCCGCGUGAAGGAAGAAGUAUUUCGGUAUGUAAACUUCUAUCAGCAGGGCAGAAAAUGACGGUACCUGACUAAGAAUCCCCGGCUAACUACGUGCCAGCAGCCGCGGUAAUACGUAGGGGGCCAGCGUUAUCCGGAUUUACUGGGUGUAAAGGGAGCGUAGGCGGGUCAGCAAGUCAGAAGUGAAAGCCCGGGGCUGAACUCCAGGACUGCUUUUGAAACUGUUGAACUAGAUUGCAGGAGAGGUAAGUGGAAUUCCUAGUGUAGCGGUGAAAUGCGUAGAUAUUAGGAGGAACACCAGUUGCGAAGGCAGUCUGCUGGACAGCAACUGACGCUGAGGCGCGAAAGCGUGGGGAGCAAACAGGAUUAGAUACCCUAGUAGUC
rnacentral:rRNA from 1 species